GCGUUUUGGUCUUCCAUGGCUUCCUGUUUACUGGGGUAGAAAAAUGAAGUAACACGCAUAGGAAAAAGCAAAGAACUCACAAAUGGUUAUUGACCUUCAUAAAUCAGGUAAUGGGUACUGGAACAGUGGUAAUCUUGCCUGAUUUUGAAUGCAUGUGUAUCUUUUCCCCACGCACAGUGAGGAAGAUGGUUCUGGAGGCAAAGAAAUGUCCAAGGGCCACAGCUGGAGAAUUACAGAACUUGGUCACAUCUUCAGGUCACCAAGUUUCCAAAUCUACAAUUUGACACCAUCUCCUUUGCCAAUAGGCUCUUUGUAGCGGUUGCCAGAAAGACACUUUCAUUGAGAGCAACCAACAAAUGUAAAUGCCUGGAGUUUGCUAAACGGCAUUGGCACUUGGAUUGGAACAGGCGCUAUGGUCAAAUAGAGCACUUUGGCCGAGAAAGAAGGAUACAUAUGCAGAAAAGAACCUCAUACCUACUGUAAAAUAUUGUGGGGAAGCUUUGCUGUUACAGGGCUAUUUUGCUUCCACCAGCUUGGAAAACCAAUAUGAAUUGUAUAUGUCAACAUAAUGCAAAAAUUCAACAUGGAUGGUCUCAUGUUGGUGAGCUAAACAAAGAUAAAUAUUCAAACCAAGUCAAUGGUCAAUCCCAACAUGAAUGAAGCAGGUCUUUAUUGUCGAUCAUCAGUGAUCAAAUGGCAACUUGUCAGCAAGCUAGUUCAUAUAAUAAGCAGUUAAUUGGAUAAUGAUUUAAUUCAUGAAACACAUUCAUGCAAAGUUCAUCCUGGAUUGGGCAGAUCGAUAGUCCACAGAGAAGGGGAACAGAAAACAUAUUGAAUGUACCCAUAACAGAAUACUAUCUUUCUCCCUCUUCCUAACAUCACAUUAUGUAUUCAUUGAUAAAGUACAUGUACAACAGUCAAUGCUUUAGAUUGGAUACUUUAUCUUGACAUUCUUAAAAAUGUAGGUACAUGUAGUUUGUAAUAGCCUUGAUUGGUUAGCAUUUUUUCGCAUUUCAAUUUACAUUUAGUUAUGAUCGCUGCAGGUUUUUUCUUCCUGAUUACAUUCCAUAUUAAGUUCCAUCUCUCACACCAAACAAUCUUUUGAAUCAUGUCAAAUUACACACAGAUAUUUAACACAUUUUUGUUAGUUUGAAUGCAGCAGCAUUAUUAGAGCUUGAGGAGGUCUCAUCCAACAAUUUGAUACUUCUGAAAAAUAAAGUUAACAAAACAAAUGAAAUUACAAUUUUUUUCUCAACAGUUCUUUGAUUUAUCAAAUAAAAAUAAAGAUGACCUUUUGUCUCAAGAAGUAACUAUAUUAUGUACAAUAAACUAUUAUGGAACACCAGAAGCAAGUAUAUUUCAAGGCAUGCCAAAUUUCUUAGAAAUGCUGAUUGGUAAAAAAGUAAAAUAGAUGGACCAAUUAAAAGCAAACUUUUAUUAGUGUGAGCCAAUGAAAUUGCUUCAUAUUAAACUGUGAAUGAUUGGCAUCACAUAGCAGCUCUACCUGAGUGCAUGUCUCACAAAAUUGUUCAAGACAUUUUGGGGUGACAUCAGAAAGUUGUUGGGGUAUUGUAUGAAGCAAAAUAACCGGAUUUGAAAACGUAUUGUACUAGAGUAGAUGUUUUGUUUUAUUGUAAGUUGUAUUAUCCUUGUCAUUUGAUGAGAGAAAUUAUGAUUCCUGUAAGAUAAAAGGGUAACACAUUAUACGUGAAGCACAGAAUAACAUACUGAGAAAAGACAAAGAAACAUAGUGACAUUUAAAGUGCAAAAUAAAUCAAAUUCUACAGUGAUGUUUUUAAUAUGUAAGUAGGUACACGGUAUGUUCAGAAUCAUAGGAUUUUGUAACUAGUCAAAUGUUUUAGCAAAAUGUCGUAAAUGGGAAUGAUUGAUGAUUUACACCUGAAGUAAACAUUCUAUGAAACUGUAUAACUAGCAUUACUUCCUCAUGUGUAUAAACUGUGAAGGACUUUUCAAGAUGUUCAGAACUGGGACCGGAGAAAAAUGGGGUAGGGCCAUGCUAUUUCAUUUUUAGUCAGGGGGGGGGGUUGAGUAUUUUUUUGUAUCUACUCCAGGUUCGAUUAAAUGUCAUAUUGCUCAAGAGUUUGAGAAGUAGUUGCUUAUUACAUCUCAAUGUGUGCCCGAUGCUGCUCUCAUCCCUGAUUAUCUGCAGGGUGCGCAAUAUUAAGUGCUCCUAGUGUGGUCUCAAUCAAAUGAUCCAUAUUCUAUAGGCUAUAGGCAUAGGUUAUAUGAAGAGCAUGCUCGGAGAAGCAAAGGGCAAAGUUAUAUUUCCAAGAAAAUGUACUUCCCGUGUUUUUGCGCUGCUGGGAUGGUGUAUAUAAAACUAGGCUACACAGCAUUAUACACUUCAAUGGAUAGGCUAUCCCAAUCAUGAGCCCCGGCCUGCCCUGCUCUUGCUGAUGUAAACCCUUUUGUGCUGCCUAACCAAUGACUGUGCUGUAUACGUUGGCACUUCAGGAGAUGAGUGAAUGGCUUCUUUUGAAAAUAAUGUUGACAUUUUUAUUUUAUUUUUUACAAUUCCUGUGCGUUCGGACUGGGCCUGUUCAUGUCCUGUUCAGUUUGAGAGGGAAAAUGUGGCGAUGAAAAGGAGGACCGGUGGUAAGCUUGCUACUGCUUUAAUUGAUUUGAAUAAAAACUAUAUGUUUCGCUGCCCAUAAUGAAUAUAUUUCUCAGACUUAUUGACCUCACAAUAAGCCAGAUUCUAGUAAUUUACACAACCAACAUUACUAUGAAGCACCAGCCACAGAUAUUUGAGAAGGCUUCAUUCAUUUAAACGGUCUUCAUUUUAAUUUGACUUUAGGCUACUAACAACAAGAGCGUUUUGUGUUGAAGACUAUGUCUUCAUAUUCAAGAAAUACGAGCUAGGCCUUCCUGUUUGACAGGAGGUAGGUCUUCAUAUUUGAGAUAGGGCUUGUGAUUGAUGUGAUUGGCUUGAUGAAACAUGGCUCAAACCUGAUGAAUUUACUGCGUUACAUGAGGCCUCUCCUUCUGGUUACACUAGUGACCAUAUCCCCACACAUCCUGCAAAGGCAGAGAUGUUGCUAACAUUUAUGACAGCAAUUUUCAAUUUACGACGUUUUCGUCUUUUGGCUUCUAGUCAUGAAAUCUAUGCAGCCUACUCAGUCACUUAUAUAGAUGCUGUUUUCGGGCCUCCUGGGCCCUAUACAGAAUUGGGUUCCCUGAAUUCCUAUCCUAUCUCGUAGUCAUGCCAGAUAGUAUUUUUAUUUUAUUUAGACUCAGUGGGUUUUGUCCAACAUGUCUCGGGACCUACGCAUUGCCACAAUCAUACCCUGGUUCUAGUUUUGUCCCGUGGAAUAGAUAUUGUGGAUCUAAAUGUUUUUCUUCAUAAUAUUGGACCACCAUUUUAUUACGUUUUCAAUCGCAACAAAUAAUUAGCUCAGACCCCAACCAAGGAUAUCAAAAGCCACGCUAUAAAUUCUAUGACAACCUAAAUAUUCCUUGAUGCCCUUCCAGACUUCCCUUUCACACUGGAGUACAAAAACAUUAACCACCUAACCAAGGAGCUAAACUUAACCUUGCGUAAUACCAUAGAUGCAGUCGCACCGCUAAAAAUAAAACAUAUUUGUCACAAGAAACUAUCUUCCUGCCAUACAGAAAUUACCAGAGCCCUGAAGGAAUGGAAAUGGCGCCCCACCAAAUUGGAAGUCUUCCGAUUAGCUUGGAAAGACAGUACCAUGCAAUAUUGAAAAGCCUUCAUUGCUGCUAGAUCAGCCUACUUUCCCACCCUGAUUGAGAAGAAAAAAUAUCCUAAAUGUAUUUUUGAUACUAAAAAGCAGCAUUCCCCAAGUGAGGAUGGCCUUCACUUCAGCAGUGAUGAAUUCAUGAACUACUUCAAUGAAAAGAUCAUGAUCAUUAGAAAGCAAAUUAAAGACUAUGCGUAUUUAUUUCUCCAAAACUCAGUUGUCCUGAGUCUGCACAGAACUCCCAGGACCUCGGAUCAAUGGAGAAGUUUUUUAAUCCUGUAUCUCUAGACACAAUAAUAGUCAUGGCCUCUAAAUCUUCCAGCUCUAAACUACUGUAAGAGCUACUUCCUGUGCUUGGCCGUCCUAUGUUGAACAUAAUAAACGGCUACCUAUACUCUGGAUGUGUACCAAACUCACUAAAAGUGGCAGUAAUAAAGCCACUACUUAAAAAGCCUUGAGAGAGAUAAAAAAAAAAAAAAAUCUGCCAAUAUCGAAUUGAUGCUUGUUCUAGGUCCCAAGAAACAAAUAAAUCUUCCGUUGAAUCUGACAAUUAAUCUUGAUGGUUGUACAGUUGUCUCAAAUAAAACCUAACCUACAAAGCAUUACAUGGACUUGCUCCUACCUAUCUCUCUGAUUUGGUCCUGCCGUACAUACCUACACGUACGCUACGGUCACAAGACGCAGGCGUCCUCAUUGUUCCUAGUGUUUUUAAGUAAGCAGCUAGCGAGGGCUUUCCCCUGUAGAACUCCAUUUUUAUGGAAUGGUCUGCCGAUCCAUGUGAGAGAAGCAGAAUCGGUCUUGACCUUUAAGUCUUUACUGAAGACUCAUCUCUUCAGUAGGGCCUAUGAUUAAGUGUAUUCUGGCAGAGGGGUGCGACGGUGAACGGCAAGGCUCUGGAGUGACGAACCACCCAUGCUGUCUCUGACUAGCUGGCUCCCCUCUCUCCACCGGGUUUCUCUGCCUCUGUCCUUAUUAUGGGGGCUGAGCUACUGGCUUGUUAGUGCUCUCCCAUCCCGUCCCUAGGAGGGGUGCAUCAGGUCGUGCCAGGCUUGAGUGGGUUGAGUGAUUGACGUGAUCUUUCUGUCCGGUUUUGCACCCCCUCGGGAUUGUGCGGUAGGGGUGAUCCACCUUGUCUCAGGGUAGUAUGUUGGUGGUCUGUUGAUAUCCCUGUGGUGGUGUGGGGGCUGUGCUUUGGCAAAAUAGGUGGGGUUAUAUCCUGCCUAGUUGACCCUGUUCGGGGGUGUCGUUGGACGGGGCCACAGUGUCCCCCGACCCCCCCCGUGUCAGUCUCCGGUAUCUAUGCCGCAAUAGUCUAUGUGCCGGGGGGCUAGGGUCAGUCUGUCCUAUUUGGUGUAAUUAUCAUGUCUUAUCUGAUGUCCUGUGUUAUCUUAAGUAUGCGCCCUCUAAUUCUCCAAUCUCUCACUUGCUCUCUCUCUCCCCUCCAGGAGGACCUGAGCCCUUGGACCAUGACUCAGGACUACUUGGCCUGACAACUCUUGGCUGUUCUCCCUCCCAAGUCCACCUGGUCAUGCUACUGCUCAAUUAUUGCUGAUCUGCCUGCGGCUAUGGAAUCCUGACCCGUUCACUGGACAUGCUCCCUCGCACUUUCUCUCCUUCCCCUUCUCUCUAUACCACACCUGCUGUCUCAACCUCUGAAUGCUCAGUUAUGAAAAGCAAACUGACAUUUACCCCUGAGGUGCUGACCUGUUGCAACCUCUAUAAACACUCUGAUUAUUAUUUGACUCUGUUGGUCAUCUAUGAACGUUUGAGAAUCUUGAAGAACGAUCUGGCCUUAAUGGCCAUGUACUCUUAUAAUCUCCACCUCGCACGGCCAGUAGAGGACUGACCACCCCUCAGAGCCUGAUUCCUCUCUAGGUUUCUUCAUAGGUUCCAGUCUUUAUAAGGAGUUUUUCCUAGCUACCGUGCUUUUACAUCUGCAUUGCUUGCUGUUUGGGGUUUUAGCCUGGGUUUCUGUAUAAGGGUCUAGUCUGCUAUUUAAGAAAUACACUGUGAAGGAUUUGUGACAAGCUACAGGCAGGCAGGAGUGGUCAGCAUUUCAACAGCACAUCAACAACAGCACUUUAACAACAUGCCUAUACAUUUUUCAUUAAGGCUGUUUAAAAUAAUUACUUAGAAUGAAAUAUCAAUGAAACGAAAAAUUCCUAAUUGGGCUACACUGUCAUUCUACAGUGCCUUUGAAUUGACUUUUAGAAACAUGAGUUUGGCCCGUCUUUGGUUUGAGGAUCAUGCGGUGAGCUAUGCAUGUCUAUUUUGUAACAGGAAUGUAACAGAAUAAAAUAGAAUGAAUUAGAAAAUGAUAGUUUCACAAUUAAAAAAAGUUGCAAGUGCAUAUAGGCCUACCUGAUGAUCUGCGGCUGCUGUGUUAAAAAACAAAAGCAUAUUUCUCUAAUUCAUUGAUGAUCAGAUACUCAGUCAUAACUGGUUCGGUUGUUCUACAUGUUUACAGUUGAUAGACAACUUUAGCACUGUUCCAAACUGAAGACGAUCCUCUUUUUUUAACAAUAGCGUAUAGAAAUCAAAACGUCUCCUGUGCUGCAGCAUGCGCUCAUUCGUUGUCAUGCACUGUUGAGGUAUUAGACGAAAUUCUGCUUUUGAGUUGAUAAAAGGCUAUUUUUUUCUCAGAACUGCAAAUAAGAUGAUAGAUUCAUGCAGUGCUUUUAUUAUAAAGCAGAGCUUUUCACCACUACUCUUGUCCACAGUGGUCUGCCAAUCCACAAUCUACUGGCCCACCGCCCUUGCUACUUAGCCAUGUAAUGCUUACGAAACGGUUUCAUGUAAUGCUUACAGUUUCUAAAAGUGCAUAUCUAAGGCUAUCUGUCCUACGAGUGAGGGUCAACAUUAGGCAUGUUGUCUGCUAUCCACUUUGUUUGAAUCAUUAUUUCGGGUGUAGGGGAAGGUCACUAGUGUUUUUUCAUGUGUGCAAUAUUUUUUACUGAAGGGAGGGCCAUCCAUUUUCUUUUCAGAGAGGUCUGAUUUCCUCCAGGUAUCCCUGAUUAUAAAUAAAGUACAGUCCCUAAUACAACAAUAACAGAAAUCAUGUUCAUUUGGACACAUUCCACAGUAUCUAUCUUUAAAUGUGUUUCUGAUUUAAUAUGAGCCUCAAAUGGCAACCUACUCCCUAUGGGCUCUGGUCAAAAGUAGUGCACUAAAUUGGGAAUAAAGAGCCAUUUGGGACUCUGUAGGUACAUCUAAUUAACUCCUCCAAAAUAAAAGCCACUCAUGAUCAUAUCUGGGUGAACCGUUUCAAGAACGUAGACAAGAACACAUGCUGACCAUUACAAAGCCACAAGUACAUCGACUUUAUGCAUUCAUUUCGAUUCCCUCAAAAUCCUUUUCUAUCUCAAUGAAAAAGACAGAGGAAUAAUGACACUUAUUUCGGUAACACUUUACAAUAAAGGUACCUUAAUUUAAAGCGUCACCCUUAGUUCAAACAGAGAUAUUGGCCUACUGCAUGAAACAUUUAGCAGCACUUGAAGCAGCUCCUGGUGAAGUGUGAUAUUGUCUUAUGAACACCUUCAUAGGUCUUUAUGAGACUGUAUACUACUCUAUGGCGGUUAUCAUACAGUAGGUCGCGCACAGGUUUACAUUCCAAAAUGCAGAUUUACCAGUCCCUGAUUAUUAUCUACAUGACGGUAACUUUAUUCAAAGCACCUUGUAAAGUGUUAUAAUGCUUUAAAAACCUUAAUAGAAUCUCAUAGAUGCAGUCAUUGAGCAUUGUGAAACUUGACAAUCAAGUAAUAAGGCAUGAGAGAUAUUCAUAAUAUAUAACAGUCUCUGGUACCUUAUUGCUUUAUUGUAGUUUCAUAAUGCUCCAUGACUUCUAUAAGGUGCUAUGAACGCUUAUAACGCAAUAUAACAGUUCAGAACUCUUCAUAAGAAGGAACGUCAAGUGUUACCUAAACUACUAUCCGUGGUCUGACCUAAAUAACGUUCAUCCUAUAAUUUAGCUAUAUAUUAUUUUCAUAUCCAACGUAAUCAUUUUAAUUUAAAGCACUUCUUUAAGCAAACUAGUAAGUGAGAACAGAGGAGGCUGCUACUCUGCUGUUGCAUUUUUUUUUCUUCCCUGGAAGCGUUAGUGAUGGGAGGAGUAGACAAGAACUGGUCUUAGAACAGGUCUUAUUAAGGCAUACGAGGGCUGCUGUACUGAGUCAGAAUCACAGGGGGGCUAGGGGAGGCUAGUGGAACCCCAUAACAAAUCAGGCAUCCCACAAUCGAUAUGGACAUUGGGCACCAUCAUCGUGCAGAGCCCCAAGAGUCAAUGUGUAAUUCGAACCCUGCUAAGGAACAAGUUCCCAGACAGGUGCAGGGAGGCCUCAGCUGCAGAAGGAGGUAGCGAACACCCACUUCCAUAGUCUGUGGCAUUGGUGGGUCACACCCACUUCCAUAGUCUGUGGCAUUGGGGGUCACACCCACUUCCCUAGUCUGUGGCAUUGGGGGUCACAACAACUUCCCUAGUCUGUGGCAUUGGGGGGUCACACCCACUUCCCUAGUUUGUGGCAUUGGGGGUCACACCCACUUCCCUAGUCUGUGGCAUUGGGGGUCACACCCACUUCCCUAAUCUGUGGCAUUGGGGGUCUCGCCCACUUCCCUAGUAUGUGGCAUUGGGGGUCACACCCACUUCCCUAGUCUGUGGCAUUGGGGGUCUCACCCACUUCCCUAGUCUGUGGCAUUGGGGGGUCACACCCAUGGUCACACCCACUUCCCUAGUCUGUGGCAUUGGGAGUCUCACCCACUUCCCUAGUCUGUGGCAUUGGGAGUCUCACCCACUUCCCUAGUCUGUGGCAUUGGGUGUCUCACCCACUUCCCUAGUCUGUGGCAUUGGGGGUCACACCCAUGGUCACACCCACUUCCCUAGUCUGUGGCAUUGG
ensembl:lncRNA